GAUGAACGCUGGCGGCGUGCUUAACACAUGCAAGUCGAACGGAUGCAAGGGGCUUGCUCCUUGCAUUAGUGGCGGACGGGUGAGUAACGCGUGAGCAAUCUGCCCAUAUCAGGGGGAUAACAGUUAGAAAUGACUGCUAAUACCGCAUAUGACCACGAAAAGGCAUCUUUUUGAGGUGAAAGAUUUAUCGGAUAUGGAUGAGCUCGCGUCCCAUUAGGCAGUUGGUGAGGUAACGGCCCACCAAACCUACGAUGGGUAGCCGACCUUAGAGGGUGAUCGGCCACAUUGGAACUGAGACACGGUCCAA
rnacentral:rRNA from 1 species